rnacentral:rRNA from 1 species
GACGAACGCUGGCGGCGUGCUUAACACAUGCAAGUCGAACGGAAAGGCCCUGCUUUUGUGGGGUGCUCGAGUGGCGAACGGGUGAGUAACACGUGAGUAACCUGCCCUUGACUUUGGGAUAACUUCAGGAAACUGGGGCUAAUACCGGAUAGGAGCUCCUGCUGCAUGGUGGGGGUUGGAAAGUUUCGGCGGUUGGGGAUGGACUCGCGGCUUAUCAGCUUGUUGGUGGGGUAGUGGCUUACCAAGGCUUUGACGGGUAGCCGGCCUGAGAGGGUGACCGGCCACAUGGGGACUGAGAUACGGCCCAGACUCCUACGGGAGGCAGCAGUGGGGAAGAUUGCACGAUGGGCGGAAGCCGGAUGCAGCAACGCCGCGUGCGGGAUGACGGCCUUCGGGUUGUAAACCGCUUUCGCCUGUGACGAAGCGUGAGUGAAGGUAAUGGGUAAAGAAGCACCGGCUAACUACGUG